GAUGAAGAACGCAGCGAAAUGCGAUAAGUAAUGUGAAUUGCAGAAUUCAGUGAAUCAUCGAAUCUUUGAACGCACAUUGCGCCCGCCAGUGUUCUGGCGGGCAUGCCUGUUCGAGCGUCAUUUCAACCAUCAAGCCCCCGGCUUGUGUUGGGGACCUGCGGCUGCCGCAGGCCCUGAAAACCAGUGGCGGGCUCGCUGUCACACCGAGCGUAGUAGAUUUUCAUCUCGCUCAGGGCGUGCUGCGGGUUCCGGCCGUAAAAAGCCUUAUUUACCCAAGGUUGACCUCGGAUCAGGUAGGAAGACCCGCUGAACUUAAGCAUAUCAAUAAGCGGAGGA
rnacentral:misc_RNA from 1 species